rnacentral:lncRNA from 1 species
UUCUUUUCUUUUCUUUCCUUUCCUUUCCUUUUCUCUUCUUUUCCUUUUUUUCUUCUUUUCUUUUCUUUUCUUUUCUUUUCUUUUCUUUUCUUUUCUUUUCUUUUCUUUUCUCUUCUUUUCUUUUCUUUUCUUUUCUUUUCUUUUCUUUUCUUUUCUUUUCUUUUCUUUUCUUUUCUUUUCUUUUCUUUUCUUUUCUUUUCUUUUCUUUUAUUU